UACGUAGGCAGCAAGCGUUGUUCGGAAUUACUGGGCGUAAAGAGUGUGUAGGCGGUGCUCUAAGUUCGGUGUGAAAUCUCCCGGCUUAACUGGGAGGGUGCGCCGGAAACUGGAGUGCUCGAGCGUGGGAGAGGAAAGCGGAAUUCCUGGUGUAGCGGUGAAAUGCGUAGAUAUCAGGAGGAACACCUGCGGUGUAGACGGCUUUCUGGACCAUUGCUGACGCUCAGGCACGAAAGCGUGGGGAGCAAAAGGG
rnacentral:rRNA from 1 species